GAUGAAGAACGCAGCGAAAUGCGAUAAGUAAUGUGAAUUGCAGAAUUCAGUGAAUCAUCGAAUCUUUGAACGCACAUUGUGCCCGCCAGCAUUCUGGCGGGCAUGCCUGUUCGAGCGUCAUUUCAACCCUCGAGCCCCCCCGGGGGCCUCGGUGUUGGGGGACGGCACACCAGCCGCCCCCGAAAUGCAGUGGCGACCCCGCCGCAGCCUCCCCUGCGUAGUAGCACACACCUCGCACCGGAGCGCGGAGGCGGUCACGCCGUAAAACGCCCAACUUUCUUAGAGUUGACCUCGGAUCAGGUAGGAAUACCCGCUGAACUUAAGCAUAUCAAUAAGCGGAGGA
rnacentral:misc_RNA from 1 species